rnacentral:rRNA from 1 species
AACGUAGGAGACAAACGUUAUCCGGAGUUACUGGGCGUAAAGGGCGUGUAGGCGGUUUGUUAAGUCUGGCGUGAAAGCUCUCGGCUAAACCGGGAGAGGUCGUUGGAUACUGGCGAACUAGAGGAUGGUAGAGGCGUGUGGAAUUCCGGGUGUAGUGGUGAAAUGCGUAGAGAUCCGGAGGAACACCAGUGGCGAAGGCGACACGCUGGGCCAUACCUGACGCUAAAGCGCGACAGCAUGGGGAGCGAACCGG